GCUCUCAUUCCCUAAGAAUUGAAUCUCACUCAAUCUGACAAAUAACUUGUAUGCAUGUUUGUUUUUAUGCAUUCUGUGCAUGACCAUGAUUGAAGAGCAUGCAAGCAUCUCUCUUAAAUGAACUGCAUAUGCUCAGUCCAAUGCAAACAAAUCAAAGAAGAAGAACUAGAUGAACAAAUACUUUCAAGUUUCAGCCACACAAGAGUCUACCAUGGAGUGAAGAAUCAUGUAACUCAGAUUAGAUUGGAGAGUUUAAACUUUAAAGAGAGCAUGAGGA